rnacentral:rRNA from 2 species
CUGCGAAGGGGGGACGGAGAAGGCUAUGUUGGCCGGGCGACGGUUGUCCCGGUUUAAGCGUGUAGGUGUGUGUUCCAGGUAAAUCCGGUUCACUUUAACACUGAGGCGUGACGACGAGGCACUACGGUGCUGAAGCAACAAAUGCCCUGCUUCCAGGAAAAGCCUCUAAGCAUCAGGUAACAUCAAAUCGUACCCCAAACCGACACAGGUGGUCAGGUAGAGAAUACCAAGGCGCUUGAGAGAACUCGGGUGAAGGAACUAGGCAAAAUGGUGCCGUAACUUCGGGAGAAGGCACGCUGACAC